GUGCCCAUUGCCUCUUGUCCUGGCUCUGGGCACCACAGAAGAGAGCCUGGGUCCUUCCUCUUUGCAAUCUCCCUUCAGGUAUUUGUAGGCACUGAUGAGACUCCCCUGAGUCCCCUUUCCACGAGGCUGAGCAGUCCCAGCUCCCUUGGCCUUCCUCACAGGAGAGGUGCUCCAGUCCCUUCACCAGAACUGGGCUGAGCUCUCCCUUCCUCCAGGAGCUUUAAGUUUAGGGUGAGCCCAGCCUGUGGGGCUGCCAGCCCCACCUGAGGCCUUGUUAACCUGAUGAGGGCAAGGUGGGUGGUUCCUGUUCGGAGGGCAUAAAAAGGAGGUCAUUCCCCCCUCAGUCCUUUGGGAGGUUAGAAAGUGUUUAUGGGCAUCUGUGUUUGGUCAAGGAGAAGUAUAAUGGAAAGGACUACAAAUGUGCUUUGGGGUAAGUGGAAGCUUUCUCUUCAUGGCUUGGGGAAGCAUUUUGUUGCUGUGGUAAGUGUUCACCAUCAAAUGAAUACACUGAUAGCUGUGUACAAAUAAGCACAUAAAUCUGUUUCAAAUUUGAAAUGUUUGGUGCUGCCCCUGGCUUGUCAUUGGCGUCACAACAGGCAGCUGCUGGUUUCUAGAACACUGUACAUGUGUGCUUCUCCUGGACAAACUGUUGGUAUUUCUGAAUAGCAAAAAUGAUCUUCUGUCCUCUGAAGAUCAUGCUUGGUUACGUAGCUUGCAAACAUCCUCACUGAUUUUUAUUCAUGUAAUUUGGGUUUAACAUUAGAUGGUUAUGUUGUGUUUGGUCCUACAAUACAGAAGCUUUUUGGCUGAGGUGGUUUACCUGUUUCCGAUUUGACUACUUGUCUUCCAAAGGUAAUGUGUCCUGUUAAAGUAGGAAAUGCUGUUUUCCUUGCAUCCUCUAUUAUUGUUUCACUUUGCUGUGCAGUAGCAUAAUUCUGAUCCUUAAUGGCUCUGACUUAGUGGUGUAUGCACUUUUUAAUUGAAAAUAACUUUAUAAGUUGCAUGUGUGUUGGGGGGGAAUGGAAAAUCACCACAAAACUUGACCACCUAUCAGUGAGUUUUUUUGAGAGUAAAAACCGCAAAGUCUUGAAUUAGCAUUUGUGCGUGGUUGCUGAUGUACUAUAUCUGGGUAGAAGUGAAAGAAGGACUAUUUUUUAGCAACUUGGUUUUUAGGUUAUAAGGAGUGAAUUUCCUACUCGGACUGUACAAAUUCCACAUGUUCUUUAUGAUGGAUGAGGCAGUGGACUGCUGGAGAAUGGAAAAAAAAAUAAUUUCCCUUUGUGUUUCUGGCAUUGUCCUGGAAAUGGCAAUACCUGUAUAAUCCUUCUGUUGAAAGAGAUGUGAUCUCGCAUGCUAUCAUUAUCUCUUCAGUCAUAUCUUUGAAAUGUUAUUUUAUGACUCCAGUUGAU
rnacentral:lncRNA from 1 species